CGAGGUGUUUCUCCACCGUCAUCAACAACAGCCAGUCAGACACCUCGGGAGUUUUCUAGCCGAAACCAAACCGAAACAUUAGAGCUCUUGAGACGCUUUCAGUGUAUAUUAUUCACUGUGUUUUAAAACAAAUUUCGGUCGUAUAGAUAGUUACCCCCCCCCUCCAUUUAAUUUAAUAUGUACGUUACUAAUCAGCAAGCUGAAUAGCUAAAAUAGCCUAGCACUAGGCUAGUCGCACAUGUUAACUAGCUAUUGUAUUUAUUUCACCAGGUAGUUAGCUAACAUCCCCGAACAUGAGCUCACUAAACUUCUCUCCUCCUGUUAAAGAAGAGGAGGAUGUCUGCUGGACGAAGAAAGAGGGUCUGUGGCUGAACCAUGUCGUGAAAGAGGAGGAAGAAGCUCUGGUCAAAGAGGAGGAGGAAGAGGAGGCUGUUACCGUGAAACAAGAAGAGAAAGACGUUUCAGUUAAAGAAGAGGAAGACGCGUUCAGAGUGAAAGAGGAGGAGGAUGUUACAGUAAAAGAAGAGGAGAAAGAGGAGAUGGAAGUUACAGUGAAAGAAGAGGAAGACGAGUUCAGAGUGACAGAGGAAGAGGAGAAGGUUACUGAGGAGGAAGAGGAAGACGAGUUCAGAGUGACACAGGAGGAGGAGGAGGUUACUGAGGAGGAAGAGGAAGACGAGUUUAGAGUGACAGAGGAGGAGGUUACUGAGGAGGAAGAGGAAGUGGAUGCACCAUCGAGAGCAUCCUGUCGGGCUGUAUCACAGCUUGGUACGGCAACGGCACCGCCCACAACUGCCAGAGGGGGGCGCGGUCUGCCCAACGCAUCACCGGGGGCAAACUACCUGCCCUCCAGGACACCUACACCACCUGAUGUCACAGGAAGGCCAAAAAUAUCACCAAGGACAACAGCCACCCGAGACACUGUCUGUUCACCCCGCUAUCAUCCAGAAGGCGAGGAUGCAGUGUUUGGAGUGAAGGAGGAGGAGGGAGAGAGAACUGAGAGAACUCCGGUGCGCUCUGCAGUGCGUUCCUGUCCGCUUUGCCCUAAGGUUGUGGUCGGCUUCAGUCAGCACCUGAGGCACACGCACAAUGUGAGGAACACGGAGGAGAGGAUCCUCCUUUGUAAUUGGCAGUCGGGCCGUGUCAACAUCAGGCAGGAGCCGUGCCCAGUGACAGGAUGCUCCACCCAUGCCAGCCGGCUGGACCGGCACAUGGAGUCGCACACAGAGCUCGACAGAUCGCAGAGGAGACGGGCUUUAGAGGAACUCAGGAGACGGCUGACCAUGGAGCGGCUGGCCACGUUGAGGGCGUCCAACCCUGUCGUCCCGCUGGCCACCCAUUUGGAUAUUGUGGAGUGGGAAACAAAGCAGGAAGAGGAGGACGACUCUUUAGAUUCACUGCUGUCUCCUUUGGAAGAGGAGGAGGAGGACGUGAGCUGCGGAGAUUAUUCCUGCCACUGCCAAGCGCCCAUCCUGAGGCUACGGAAAGCUUUGCAAGAGCGGGAUGAGGCCCUGACCAAGAGAAGUGCGACCAUCCAAUCCGUUAGAGAGGACAACCUGAAGCUGACCUCGGAACUGAAUAGAGCGAGGAAGAGGUAUCAGCUACUGAAAAGUCAGAAGACGACGAGUGUCAGGGCGAGGUCAGCGAACGCAAGGUCGGGGAAGACGAGGUCAGCGAAGAGGUCCAGAUUUCAGACCGAGCCGUCUCGUCCUGCGUCAGACACAGAACAAGAGGAGCUACAGCAGGACCAAGUCGUAGGUUCAGGAGCCCAGAUAGAGGAGGCCACGGCGCCCAAAUCUAGCAGCCAAACUCCCUUCCCGGGCUCUGCUCUGAGUGUGUUUAUAGAGGGGUUCAGGAAGAUCUGUGAAGGCCCCAGUCCAAACAAUAAGCUGAAGCAAAAUUGUGCCGCGAAGCUCAAGAGGGUGCAGCAAUUUUUGAAGUUCAUGGCGAAGGAUGAGAAAUAUCCAUCCACUCUCAGUUUCCUGACAGACCAGGACAACAUGAGGAGAUGGUUUCAGACCCUUCAGCAGAACAAGGCCGUCGCCACGGUCAACCACUACACCUCGACUAUCGGUGCAUUUCUCCAAUACUCAGAGGAGACCCCUCCGCCUGGCUGCCGGCUGACCAAAAGCCACUGGAAGGAGAUCAACCGGGCAAUGAAGGAGAUCAACAAGUCCGUGAAAGGAGCCGUCUCCAACAAGGAAGGCAAGGGGGUGUCUACAAAGAGCCUGCUGGAGUGCCAGUCUCUUGCCAAGGACAAGAUCCCCCAAGUGCUGAAAACCUUGGAAGAAACUAUGACACAGAAGAACCAGAACCGGUUUUACGGAUUCCUGUGUGCCUAUUUCACCUCCAUGUACGGCCACAGCCCGGGCCUUUAUAGAAACAUGAUGGUGAAGGAGGUGGAGGAGGUCCAGCGUGGCCUGUCUGGGACCUGUCUGAUCAACGUGGGAAACGCAAAACAAAUGCAAACCAGGAUCCAGAUGUCGCUGACCAAGGAGGAGUACUCUUGGUUUUCAGACUUCCUGAAAUUUAAGCACUGUCUGCCAGGGGGAAAUAAAGCCCAGUACUUCUUUUUCAAUUCCACCAACACUGAGAUCAAGAACCUGCCCGUCUACCUGAGGGAGGCGUGGAAGGAGAUGGGCCUGCCUGGAAGGCCUUCCUUCACUGACCUGCGGACUUCCAUCUUCAGUCAUGUUAAAAACGUUCUCCCGAAUGCCGACGGGGAAACGUUGGCCGACUUCGUGCGCCACGACAGCCGGAUGGAAGCCAAACGUUACUCAAUGAAUCCUUCCAAAGCCGGUAAACCAGCGCCUUCCUUGAGACGGCGUUGAAGGGAGAAGAUACCGCACCACGGGCGCCGCAGAGAACCAGCCAUCCACCUCCAGAAAGCAGAAGACGAGAGAGGACGUCUCCGAGCGGAGCACCACCCCUGAAGAGACCGAGGUGCAGUACUAGGAGUCUGGCACGUCCCCCAGGGAGGAGGAGCAGGAACGGACGGCCAGACAAACUCUAGGAAAACAAGAUAUUCAGAGACAACGCAUUAGAUUACACUUGUACACCGUUUAACACUCAAGAACAAACAGAUACUCGGGCGUGGUGGUCUCCUCCAACUGAAGGGCAUGGUGGUCUCCUCCAACUGAAGGGCAUGGUGGUCUCCUCCAACUGAAUGUCGCCGCUCGCCUCCCACUGUGUCAGGUUAUGAAGCAGCUGAGGUCCAUUUAAAGCCCCAAACAGACUCCAGGAGAAAGAAGGACGAGGAAAGAGGGGGGGUUGACCUCUGACAGUCAGGUGGAAGAGGGGGGUUGACCUCUGACAGUCAGGUGGAAGAGGGGGGUUGACCUCUGACAGUCAGGUGGAAGACGGGGAGCUGUCUUCUGACAGUCAGGUGGAAGAGGGGGAGCUGACCUCUGACAGUCAGUUGGAAGAGGGGGGUUGACCUCUGACAGUCAGUUGGAAGAGGGGGGUUGACCUCUGACAGUCAGUUUGAAGAGGGGAGCUGUCUUCUGACAGUCAGGUGGAAGGAGGGGAGCUGUCUUCUGACAGUCAGGUGGAAGGAGGGGAGCUGUCUUCUGACAGUCAGGUGGAAGGAGGGGAGCUGUCUUCUGACAGUCAGGUGGAAGGAGGGGAGCUGUCUUCUGACAGUCAGGUGGAAGGAGGGGAGCUGUCUUCUGACAGUCAGG
ensembl:lncRNA